CUUGCUUCUCUUGAGAGCGGCGGACGGGUGAGUAAUGCCUAGGAAUCUGCCUGGUAGUGGGGGAUAACGUCCGGAAACGGACGCUAAUACCGCAUACGUCCUACGGGAGAAAGCAGGGGACCUUCGGGCCUUGCGCUAUCAGAUGAGCCUAGGUCGGAUUAGCUAGUUGGUGGGGUAAUGGCUCACCAAGGCGACGAUCCGUAACUGGUCUGAGAGGAUGAUCAGUCACACUGGAACUGAGACACGGUCCAGACUCCUACGGGAGGCAGCAGUGGGGAAUAUUGGACAAUGGGCGAAAGCCUGAUCCAGCCAUGCCGCGUGUGUGAAGAAGGUCUUCGGAUUGUAAAGCACUUUAAGUUGGGAGGAAGGGCAGUAAAUUAAUACUUUGCUGUUUUGACGUUACCGACAGAAUAAGCACCGGCUAACUCUGUGCCAGCAGCCGCGGUAAUACAGAGGGUGCAAGCGUUAAUCGGAAUUACUGGGCGUAAAGCGCGCGUAGGUGGUUCGUUAAGUUGGAUGUGAAAUCCCCGGGCUCAACCUGGGAACUGCAUUCAAAACUGACGAGCUAGAGUAUGGUAGAGGGUGGUGGAAUUUCCUGUGUAGCGGUGAAAUGCGUAGAUAUAGGAAGGAACACCAGUGGCGAAGGCGACCACCUGGACUGAUACUGACACUGAGUGCGAAAGCGUGGGGAGCAAACAGGAUUAGAUACC
rnacentral:rRNA from 1 species